GUCUACAGCCAUACCACCCUGAACACACCCGAUCUCAUCUGAUCUCGGAAGCUAAGCAGGGUCGGGCCUGGUUAGUACUUGGACGGGAGAAAAGUGUAUUUAAAUAUUUUUAAAACUCCACUGGGUAACAGAUGACU
rnacentral:rRNA from 1 species